rnacentral:rRNA from 1 species
UGCAAGUCGAGGGGCAUCAGGAAGAAAGCUUGCUUUCUUUGCUGGCGACCGGCGCACGGGUGAGUAACACGUAUCCAACCUGCCGACAAACACUGGGAUAGCCUUUCGAAAGAAAGAUUAAUAUCCGAUAGCAUAUAUUUCCCGCAUGGGUUUUAUAUUAAAGAAAUUCGGUAUGAGAUGGGGAUGCGUUCCAUUAGUUUGUUGGGGGGUAACGGCCCACCAAGCCUUCGAUGGAUAGGGGUUCUGAGAGGAAGGUCCCCACAUUGGAACUGAGACACGGUCCAAACUCC